AAGACGAUGACGUUGAUAGGCCGGGUGUGUAAGCGCAGUGAUGCGUUGAGCUAACCGGUACUAAUGAACCGUGAGGCUUAACCUU
rnacentral:rRNA from 1 species